CCAGCACUGAAGAAGAGCUUUUCCCCAUCUUGCUCUUCAGAGUAUUUCAUGGCUAGUUAGCUGGACUACAAGAAGAGUGAAAAAGGAUGUCCCUGCAAGAUGGCUUUUUGUGGAAGGGAAAGCAAGCACGGCCCCUGACAGACUGGAAUUAGGAAUCCAAAUGUGUACUCACAGCUUGGCAAAAUGAUCAAAAAAUUGGUUUUUUAAUACCUUUUUUUUUUUUUUUUUUUUUUUAAAUUCACCAUCUGGUCUUAUCUUUUAGAAAAUGCUGGUAUGCUGCUAUGGUACUUAAUGGCACCUGUAGUACACCUAGCAGAAGUCUUUUGCACCUUAAUUCAGGAAGCACAGAAAAGCAAAUGUCAUAAAACUGAGGACAUAGUUGUAUUUCUGAGAUGACAGGGACACUAAAGUAAAAAUAGAAUUGAUGCUUGAGAAUUUAAAUAAUUUCACUUGUAUACCUGAUGGCAGCUGCCACAAAGGCAACCUGGUAAACAUACUACAAAGAAUAUAUCCUUAGCUGGAGUCCCAAGACAUCUCUGAUAAGCUCACCCAAAAUCUCUGUGAUGGGGAGUAGUUGGCAGGACAAAGAAACCUUGAUGGGUGCAGGACAAAGAAACUGUGAUAACAAACUGACCUUCCAGGAAAACAGGAGUCUGCAACAGCUAUUCUGGGAACAGAUGUCCUACACCCACUUACUUAUCUACACUAAAAAGGUACAAAAAGUAACUCCCCUACCUACUCAAAGAGAGCUUCUCUGCACAUUUUUCUGGUGCUUGGUCUGCACAAGAUCUCCUGGACAGACCAGACCAUUGCUGGGGAUGCCUGGGUGACUCCGCACUCCAUGACACAGAUCAUCUUUGAAGUGAGAGUUUUUCCUUCAUCAAUUGGAGCAGCUUGGUGACUGUUGUAACAGUAACACCUUGUAUAAUAUAUUUAUAGGCACAUACACACAGGUAAAGGUUCGUAAGUAUAUAUUUGCUUCAGUAGUUGGAAUUCAGUAAUAACUUAUAACAUACAUAUAUUUGCUUUACUCUUGUAAUAUAUGUAUGCUUGCUCUCCUAGUGGUAAUUUUGUAGUGACUUGUACAUAUAUACUAUAUAUUUGGUUUUACUAAUAGUAGCUUCGUAGUGAUUUGUAAUAACGAAAUUCUCAGAAACCCAGACCUCUGUAUCCUUGUGUAUUGUGGAACCCUGAAAACCCCACAGUCCCAAUCUUUGCACACCUGCCAGUCAGGGAACCCUCAUAGGUUGUCACCAUGACCACUACAACACCACAGCAAAAUGAAAUGUUAAAUGACUACAAAAGCUAAUGGAGAAAAGCCUCUCAGCAUAAUGGUAGAAUGCUUAACAUGCUUGAUAAGGUCAAUUUCCACAUAUUUGAUAAGGUCAUUCUCUGCUGUCCACUUCUAGAUAGGGGUUUUUUUGUUGUUGUUAUUUACCAUUUCACGUUUCAUGAAACUAAUAGCUACCAAGGAGAAAACAACAGGAUAUUUCUUUAUUACAUUUGUGAUAAACAAAGAAAAUCUUAUUAUUUACAAUCAUAAAAAUUUGGGGGGGAUAUCAACAAUCUUACGUAAGGAAGUUAUACAUUAAUCUCUUAGUAAUAUUUUAUGGACUGUCAGUGAGACAGAGCCAUUGCCUCUAAGCUAAAUUUUCCCAUAUUAUUCAAAAUUUUAAUUUUAGUUCAUGAUUAAGAUUCUGUCAUGAUGUUUAAUAGAAUUAAGUUUUCUCCAAUAAAAGAUAGGGGAAACAGUGCUCCUCAGCUUGUAAGUUUCUGCCAUACAGUGCUGAAGUCAGGAGGAGUUACAUCGCUCACCUGAGUGAGGACUGAGGUCCCUGGAGGACCAUUAACCCAGAUAGAUCUAAGUGCCCAAAAUAUAUCUCAGUGGGCAUCAAACUGUUUUGAAAACAGAGCCCUCAUUCUGAUACGGACCUGAAUCUGACUUAUCUAUCUUUGAAUUGGUACUUCUUUGGAAUAAAUUGGAAAAGUGAUAAGGGGAGGAAUAGCUUUCAUAGAUCUCCACAGAGUAAGAAAUAUAUUGUGCUACAGUAAACAUUCCAAACAUAUAUUAACACCAAUAAAUAAAGAUAACAGCACAGAUGAGAACAUUGAUAUAUUCAUAAAUUUUGAUCUGGUUUCA